rnacentral:rRNA from 1 species
AUGAACGCUGGCGGCGUGCUUAACACAUGCAAGUCGAGCGGAGAUAAGAGGGAGCUUGCUCCCAAUUAUCUUAGCGGCGGACGGGUGAGUAACGUGUGGGUAACCUGCCUUAUACUGUGGAAUAAUCAUGAGAAAUCGUGACUAAUACCGCAUGUGGUCUUCGGAAGGCAUCUUCUGAAGAAGAAAGGAUUUAUAUUCGGUAUAAGAUGGACCCGCAUCUGAUUAGCUAGUUGGUGAGAUAAUAGCCCACCAAGGCGACGAUCAGUAGCCGACCUGAGAGGGUGAUCGGCCACAUUGGGACUGAGACACGGCCCAAACUCCUACGGGAGGCAGCAGUGGGGAAUAUUGCACAAUGGGGGGAACCCUGAUGCAGCAACGCCGCGUGAAGGAAGACGGUUUUCGGAUUGUAAACUUCUAUCAAUAGGGACGAAAGAAAUGACGGUACCUAAAUAAGAAGCCCCGGCUAACUACGUG